CCUCCCUGAGCCGUGCCUGUGACCCGGUAUCCGUGACGGCCACCUGCCCCAGCCCUCGAUAAUUGCAUCCCCACCCGUGCCCCCCCUCACAAUCAACACAGCCCCAUAGAAAUCCCCAUCGCCGCCGCUCCCUCCCACCUUGUUCGUUUGCCGCCAUGUCUGUGGCGUCUUCCUUCUCUCUGACCGUCCCAGCUGACUUCCUGCUCCCUCUCAACCCGUAUCCUUUUUGCGGCGACGAGAUCGCGACGCGACGAACGUCGCAAGGACGGGAGACAAGGCGGGUCAUCGGUUCUACAAGUGUAGAAAAUACGAUUGAUACAGAGACAUUGAUAUUUGAAAGGUGCAUAAGCUUCCACACCAACAGUCGAUGGGAACAACCAGAAUCAUGCACUGAUGUCUCAAAACAUUUUCUGCAUUUGAAAGUAGAUGGGAGCAUGUAACCAGUUACUUUGUUGGCAUUUAACAAAUCGAAGAAGAUAUGCACCAGGUUUUUCAGGUUAAUUUUCUGCAGUCAUGCAUAUCAAGUUGUUCCAUUCGGAAUGCAAAUCUUUUUCUGCAAGGAUGGCAUGUUGUGAACAACAACCUUUUGUAUCUACAACAAAACUUUGCUACCUGCACUAACUUUGCAACAGUUGGAUAAUUUUCUCUGGAUUUAUUUCUUUGUCAAUGCGCCGCACCAGCGACUACCACUUCGGCGAUGACUGUCGUUUUCUCCAUCACUUCCCCACCAUGGACAUGAUCAGGCUAUUUACGAAAAAAGAUGAACAACUGGACCUAGGCGCUGAGGGGAGCUCAGGAAGCCAAUGUGUCUUGGGAGCAGCUUCAAGACCAGGCUAUGCAUGAGCUUUGUCGUCGGGGGUGCCACUUGGCCGAUGGCAAAGUUGAGCUGCGCAUGCCAGACGCAUCUUCAGAAGUCCAAGAUCAAGUAGUUUUCAUGGUAUUUGUGAUGAUUGUGUGUCUGUUGUUUUGCAGAAAUGCCUAAAUAGAAACUUAUCUUUUUUGUUGUAGUCCAUUUUUUCGGUUCAAUGAAGGCAUGAUAGGCAAGGCAACAAAAAUGGAUUGAACAGGAACUCAUUGUAUCUCUUAGUAUGUUCCUCUAAUUCUAAUUGAACAGUACAAUUCUUCAGGGUAAGUGUCAAUCCAAGAGAGAUAGUGCUGACAGACAGCAAGGUCCUCAAGUUCUGGGUUGAGGAUGAGUGCAAGAUUUUUGGGAUCCCUUGCGGUCAUCGCAAAAUCAAAGGCAGGGAUGCCAACAUAAACCCUGAAGCAAUUCAGUUCAUAAAGGUUACACUUGAAAUGAACAAGACAAGGGUUCACAGCUUGCGCGCAGCAGAAGAGUUCCUUUUGUGCGACAUCAACGAGAAUUCCAGCAAGCUUGAAAAAGAUUGUUUCCAGAUAGCCUUUGUUAUAUUUUAUCAUGGGCCAUGUGCUUGCUCUGUUAUAUACCAGCUGUUAUCGAACAGCCUUAUCAAUGCAGGACACUUCCACCGGCAU